GGGCGCUUGGUGAAGUGGUAUCAUAACGAUCUCCAAAAUCGUUGUCGGGGGUUCGAUCCCCUCAGCGCCCG
rnacentral:tRNA from 1 species